rnacentral:rRNA from 1 species
GACGAGGGAUCCUAGCGUUGUUCGGAAUCAUUGGGCGUAAAGCGGGUGCAGGUGGCUUUGUAAGUCAGGUGUGAAAUCCCAGGGCUCAACCCUGGAAGUGCAUUUGAUACUGCGAAGCUUGAGUGUGGGAGAGGUGAGUAGAAUUCCAGGUGUAGUGGUGAAAUACGUAGAUAUCUGGAGGAAUACCGGAGGCGAAGGCGGCUCACUGGCCCAACACUGACACUCAGACCCGAAAGCGUGGGGAUCAAACAGG